GAGUUAACGCUGGCGGCGUGCAUAACACAUGCAAGUCGAACGAGUUUGCUUGAGAUUAUAUCAAAGGUAGACUAGUGGCAGACGAGUGAGUAACACGUAAGAAAUCUACCCCGGAGUGGAGGAUAACUAUCCGAAAGGAUGGCUAAUACUCCAUACGAUCACUGGACGGCAUCGCCCGGUGAUGAAAGGUUUUUUCGCUCUGGGAGGAUCUUGCGGCCUACAGCUAGUUGGCGGGGUAACGGCCCACCAAGGCUAUGACGGGUACCUGGCCUGAAAGGGCGGACGGGCACGGAGGCACUGAGACACGGGCCUCACUCCUACGGGAGGCAGCAGUGGGGAAUUUUGGACAAUGGGGG
rnacentral:rRNA from 1 species